UACAGAGGGUGCGAGCGUUAAUCGGAAUUACUGGGCGUAAAGCGCACGUAGGCGGUUCGUUAUGUCGGAUGUGAAAGCCCUUGGCUUAACCGAGGAAGUGCAUCCGAAACUGGCGAGCUAGAGUACGAAAAGAGGAUCGCGGAAUUCCCGGGUGUAGAGGUGAAAUUCGUAGAUAUCGGGAGGAACACCGGUGGCGAAGGCGGCGAUCUGGGUCGAUACUGACGCUGAGGUGCGAAGCGUGGGGAGCAAACAGG
rnacentral:rRNA from 1 species